rnacentral:rRNA from 1 species
UACAGAGGUCCCAAGCGUUGUUCGGAUUCACUGGGCGUAAAGGGGGCGUAGGUGGUGAGGUAAGUCGGAUGUGAAAUCUCGGAGCUCAACUCCGAAAUGGCAUUGGAAACUACCUCGCUAGAGGAUCGGAGGGGAGACUGGAAUUCUCGGUGUAGCAGUGAAAUGCGUAGAUAUCGAGAGGAACACCAGUGGCGAAGGCGAGUCUCUGGACGAUUCCUGACGCUGAGGCACGAAAGCCAGGGGAGCAAACGGG